GGUCCUGGCAUCAUGCAGAGAUGUGGGGGUGCUCGAAAGAGAGCCAGGACACAGGUGCUGCAUGGCCGUCGUCAGCUCGUGUCGUGAGAUGUUGGGUUAAGUCCCGCAACGAGCGCAACCCUUGCCAUUAGUUGCUACGAAAGGGCACUCUAAUGGGACUGCCGGUGACAAACCGGAGGAAGGUGGGGAUGACGUCAGGUCCUCAUGGCCCUUAUGGGUAGGGCUACACACGUCAUACAAUGGCCGGUACAGAGGGCUGCCAACCCGCGAGGGGGAGCCAAUCCCAGAAAACCGGUCGUAGUCCGGAUUGCAGUCUGCAACUCGACUGCAUGAAGUCGGAAUCGCUAGUAAUCGCGGAUCAAAAUGUCGCGGUGAAUACGUUCCCGGGUCUUGUACACACCGAAAGA
rnacentral:rRNA from 1 species